rnacentral:rRNA from 1 species
UACGUAGGGUGCAAGCGUUGUCCGGAUUUAUUGGGUUUAAAGGGUGCGUAGGCGGCCCGUUAAGUCAGUGGUGAAAGCCUCCAGCUCAACUGGAGAACUGCCGUUGAUACUGGCGGGCUUGAGUACAGACGAGGUAGGCGGAAUUGAUUGUGUAGCGGUGAAAUGCAUAGAUACAAUCAAGAACACCGAUUGCGUAGGCAGCUUACUAGGCUGUAACUGACGCUGAGGCACGAAAGCGUGGGGAGCGAACAGG